GAUGAACGCUAGCUACAGGCUUAACACAUGCAAGUCGAGGGACCGGCGCACGGGUGCGUAACACGUAUCCAUCCUGCCCUUUACCCGGGGAUAGCCUUUCGAAAGAAAGAUUAAUACCCGAUGUAAAGGAUGGGGAUGCGUUCGAUUAGGUUGUUGGUGAGGGAACGGCUCACCAAGCCUUCGAUGGAUAGGGGUUGUGGGAGGAAGGUCCCCCACAUUGGAGCUGAGACACGGACCAAACUCGUACGGGGGGGAGCAGUGAGGAAGAUUGGGGAAUAGACGUUGACCUGAACCAGCCAAGUAGCGUGAAGGAGGAAUGCGUAGGGGUCGUAAACUUCUUUUAAAUAAGAAUAUGUAUUAUAUGAAUAAGGAUCGGCUAACUCCGUGCCAGCAGCCGCGGUAAUUC
rnacentral:rRNA from 1 species